AGCGAACGCUGGCGGCGUGCCUAACACAUGCAAGUCGAACGUGAAAAGGGAAACCUGAGUAAAGUGGCGUACGGGUGAGUAACGCGUAGGUAAUCUACCCCAGAAUCUGGAAUAACCUGCCGAAAGGCGGGCUAAUACUGGAUAGAGCGAGGGAACUCGUAAGAGAGUUUUUCGGGAAAGGGAGCCCGCAAGGGCCUUCGUUCUGGGAUGAGCCUGCGUCUCAUUAGCUAGUUGGUAAGGUAACGGCUUACCAAGGCGAUGAUGAGUAGCUGGUCUGAGAGGAUGAUCAGACACACUGGAACUGAAACACGGUCCAGACUCCUACGGGAGGCAGCAGUGGGGAAUCUUGCGCAAUGGACGAAAGUCUGACGCAGCCACGCCGCGUGAGUGAAGAAGGCCUUCGGGUUGUAAAGCUCUGUCGGAUGGGACGAACAUCUUCAUAGUGAAUAGCUAUGAGGACUGACGGUACCAUCAAAGGAAGCACCGGCUAACUCCGUG
rnacentral:rRNA from 1 species